CGCUCAGAGGUGGCCCCGGUGCCAGGGCUCCCCUCAGCCCACUUCCGUAGCCCGAGGGCGGUAAUGCGGCUCCUGCACCCCAGCAGCGCAUCAGCCCGGCCCAGCGGGCCCGGGAACCUGAGCAGGAUUGAAGUGAUGUGCAGAGCCCUGCGUGCCCUGGUGGUACGGGGGCUGUAGUCAGGAGGCAAGGAGGAGCAAAGGAGGAGAAUAUUGCCUCAUCUUCUGCUCACAACAAGCCCGUGCCACCUGGCAUGGGAGCGGUAUGGGCAUAGCAGCGAGCAAGUGAAUCACCCUGGAUGUGCAGUGCUGUGAAGGAGAGAUGUGUGUCUGUGUUGGAAGUGCUGUAGUGUGUGGCACACUGAGACUUCUACCUGCUUACCACGACUGGUAUUCCCUGUUCCGCAAGACUGGGAGAAGAAGAGCACAUCCAAUGAAACAGGUCCUUGGAUUUUGGAUCUUGAGGUGACCUUGACUCCACAAAUCUCCAGAACAAUUAAAUUACAGAACAGCUGAUUGCUUCUUUGUUUGUGUGGCAAUAGAUUAUGGAAUAAGAUAAAAGGAGCCUUCAGAACCUACCCUGACUGGCUUUUUCUUUUCCUUAUUGUGGAGGACGCCACCACAAAAAUAUGCCGUAAUGUAAGAAAAUGG